rnacentral:rRNA from 1 species
GAUGAACGCUGGCGGCGUGCCUAAUACAUGCAAGUCGAGCGAACGGACGAGAAGCUUGCUUCUCUGAUGUUAGCGGCGGACGGGUGAGUAACACGUGGAUAACCUACCUAUAAGACUGGGAUAACUUCGGGAAACCGGAGCUAAUACCGGAUGAUAUUUUGAACCGCAUGGUUCAAAAGUGAAAGACGGUCUUGCUGUCACUUAUAGAUGGAUCCGCGCUGCAUUAGCUAGUUGGUAAGGUAACGGCUUACCAAGGCAACGAUGCAUAGCCGACCUGAGAGGGUGAUCGGCCACACUGGAACUGAGACGCGGUCCAGACUCCUACGGGAGGCAGCAGUAGGGAAUCUUCCGCAAUGGGCGAAAGCCUGACGGAGCAACGCCGCGUGAGUGAUGAAGGUCUUCGGAUCGUAAAACUCUGUUAUUAGGGAAGAACAUAUGUGUAAGUAACUGUGCACAUCUUGACGGUACCUAAUCAGAAAGCCACGGCUAACUACGCG